UUUUUUUUUUUUUUUUUCCCUUUUUGAACACAGAAUCCUCAGUUGUUUGUUAAAAUAUUUAGGUGCUUAAAAAAAAAAAAGUAUAAAAGGAUAUCAGCAGUGUGACUUGUUCCUGUGUUUUUCCUGCUCUCCCUUCGAAAGGAUCACAAAGAAUAUAGACAUGGUGUAAAUCUCUGUUCAGAAAUAAAUAAUCUCAUUAGGGGUUUUAUUUGCUUAUCCAGCAUGGGAGCUGUGUGGAUUAUUAAGGUUUUCCGCUUUGGAUCGAAGGCUAAGGGUGAUAUUUUACAUUAUAUUGAAAUAAUUUAUUAUCUUGCUUGGUUUUUUACUAAUAACCCGCAGUUUUUGGCACUGAAUGGAGUUUUAAAUGUCCAAUUUCCUUUAAACCCUGCAUCUAAUUUAUUGUUUGCAUUGCACUAAUUUUAGGCAGCUAAAUGAGACUGAGCAGCUCUGCCUUUAUUUCUGCUUAUUUUUAUUUUUGGCUCUAGAGUACUCGGGCUGACACUUUUCUCUUUAGUUUUAAAAUGAUGCAGAGCAAUGUCUUACUCUGUAUCUUUUUUAUACACUUGGAACAGACAUUUCACCGAUUUUCAUUUUUUUAAAUGCCAUGAGAAUGGCAUCAUUCAUCCUAGACUUCAUAUAUGAAAUGUAAACCUCAGAGGGAAGUCUUAUAUUCACAGCAGUGUAUAAAGCAUUAUCAUACUUUGGUGAUUAUUUAAAGGGCAAAAUAAAUUAAAUAGCUGCAAAAUAACAGCUUUCAUAACAACUCCUUUUACAACAAGAGAAAUAGAAAUGUUUACCUUGAAUUCACUCGAGUGUCCUUUGAAGCUGAUCCUUCAAUGAAAAAGAAAUUUGAGAUUUAACAGACCUGAAUAUAGAUAAAAAUCUAGAAAAAUAUGGAAUUGUGGUGCCUAUUUCUAGCAAGAAGAGCUGUGUGUUUUCCAACAAAGCACACCUUGGCCGUGCAUCCAGCAUUUGCUCUCUUUUCCACCUCGGGAUAUUCUUGAUUUAAUGUCGUUUUAGGGAUUGCUGCAAUCCUAAAAAAAUUACAUUGCAACAACAUUACCCGACCAUGGUACUCCCAAAGAUUUUGGAAUUCUGCAUCUGAAAUGAGCAUGCUCAUUGCAAGUCCCUGUGUGCUGACAUUUCUUGGAUCAAAUGUCUAAUAUCCUAACAAAAUAUUUGAUGAGUGUGAAGAGAUGUAUUUUUUAGUUCAGAUGUUGGAAUAGCAGAAGGUGCUGGGGCCAUUUAACCCCAGGAAUUCCCUUCAGUUGUGAAGUGAGUAAUUCUGCAAUAUUCAGAAAAGUCAAAUAAAGGGAUGAAGGACUGGCAAUAACUGGAGGGAAGGGUUGUUGCAUUAAGAGGCUGGAAUAGGAUGCAGGACCCAAAGUGGUAUCCAAGAUUGCCUUUGUGAAUUUGAGCAAGACACUUAAUCUAAAUCUCACUUUUCAAUCUGUAAAAUGGGACUGACAGGGUUUCCUCUGCUAUUGAGAUACCUGGACAGACAGGGAUCAUCCCAGCUCCUCUGCAUCCCUCCCUCCUCUUCCCCCAUCCCAGCCCUCAUGGCUGUUUGCCACCUCUCACAAAUAGAAAUGUAUCCCCCCCAACAGCCUGCUUGGGAAAUGGGUUUCCCAAAUAUGACAGAGGAUAUUUUUGUCUGUGUU
ensembl:lncRNA